UACGGAGGGUGCGAGCGUUGUUCGGAAUCACUGGGCGUAAAGCGCGUGUAGGCGGCUUCUUAAGUCCGAUGUGAAAGCCCGGGGCUCACCCCCGGAAGUGCAUUGGAUACUGGGAAGCUGGAGUACCGGAGAGGAGGGUGGAAUUCCUGGUGUAGCGGUGAAAUGCGUAGAUAUCAGGAGGAACACCUGUGGCGAAGGCGGCCCUCUGGACGGAUACUGACGCUGAGGCACGAAAGCUAGGGGAGCAAACAGG
rnacentral:rRNA from 1 species